UCUGGGAUUAGCAGGUGCAAAUUAUCAUAAAAAGGAUGGAUAAACAACAAGGUCCUACUGUAUAGCACAGGGAACUGUAUUUAAUAUCCUAUGAUGAACCAUAAUGGAGAACAAUAGGAUAUAUAUGGAUAUAUGAGCUAUAUGAUAUACAUGAUAUGAUAUAUAUGUGAUAUAUGAUAUAUGGUAUAUGUGAUAUAUAUAUAUAUAUCCUAUGAUAAACCAUAAUGGAGAAUAAUAUGAUACAUAGCAUAUCGUUCUCCCUUAUGAUAUAUAUAUAUAUCUGAAUCACUUUGCUGUAUAGCAGAAAUGAACACAAUAUUAUAAAUCAACAUAUUUCAAUAAAAUGUUUUAAAAAGAUUUAACUCUCUGGUUACACCAACUGAAAAUUCUUUGUGCUCUUCCUCUGUAAUAGCCAUCAUGGCUUAUGAUUAAAUAUUCGUUUUGGGGUUUUUUUUUGUUUUUGUUUUUGUCUUUUUGCCUUUUCUAGGGCUGCACCCGCGGCAUAUGGAGGUUCCCAGGCUAGGGGUCGAAUCGGAGCUGUAGCCACCAGCCUACACCACAGCCACAGCAACGCCAGAUCCGAGCUGUGUCUGCGAUCCACACCAUAGCUCACGGCAAUGCCGGAUCCUUAACCCACUGAGCGAGGGCAGGGAUCGAACCCAAACCUCAUGGUUCCUAGUCGGAUUUGUUAACCACUGCGCCACGACAGGAACUCCUCGGGAUUUUUUUAAAUUAAAUUGUAAAAUGAAUGUAAGUUCCUGUUUUCCUCUCUCUUCCACCCACUGCAGAUCUAAUGUUCAAAAGAUUCCAUGUCUGCUUUGGCCACUAUCAUACCCCAGCAUGUAAGAGAUCCUCAUAAACAUUAGCUGAAUAAGUAAACAUACCCAUGUUGCUAAUUGCUGGGAGACAGUGAACUAGGAGCUUUGGGGAGGACUGUACUAAGAAGGAGUAGCCCCAUCAAGGGGAGUGACGCUGGUGCUGUCAGGUAGGCCUCCAUGUAGCUGCGCGCUGGCCCAGCUGUGAGGCUGCCAUGUUCCCUGUUAAACGUCAUUUCACUGGACAUCAAUGUCAUUCAAGGCCAUCCUGUGACCAUGAGAAAUGAACAAAGAUAAGUCCAUUCUGUAACCAUGUCUGGACUCCAACAAGAAUAUCGACCAGAUCAUACAAAUAUCCAAACAUCCCCUAUUCAGGUUCAUCUGAGUCAGUGAUGCUUUUUUGCCAAUUACAGCUUUAGCCUUCAUGUUUCAUCCCACCUUUGAUGUAAGAAUCCCAAUCAUGGAAUAGUCCCUCCUUCUUGACACUCUCCCUGAAGUCACCAAACACAAGUCCAAAUCCUAUACUGAGAUAUUUCUAGCAUCUUUUCACGGAGGUGGCCCUCAGUUCCUCCUGCUGUGAGGUCUCUCUCAUGGCCAUGAGUCAACCCAACCCUGUCACUUAACCAACUGUACUUUUUGCAGGGUCUUGGACUGGAGGGCAUGGAAAAGGCCAUCUAGAAUGGGGCAGAAAGUUGAUAUACAGCGGUUUGAAUGUGUCUCCCUAUCCAGAGAACAAUUUUUGCCUUUUUGGCCUUUUAGGGCCACACCCACAGUAUAUGGAGGUUCCCAGGCUAGGGGUAGAAUCAGAGCUGCAGCUGCCGGCCUACCCCACAGCCACAGCCACAGCCACGCCAGAUUCUUAACCUACGGAUCCGAAUCCACGUCCUCAUGGAUACUAGUCAGGCUCACUGACCACUGAGCCACGACGGAAACUCCCCAAAGAACAAUUUAGAAUCUGUGAAUAUCUAGCUCCUGGUAGUUAACUCCAUUUUCAAGAGACUAGUGAAACACUUAUUAACAUCAAUCACCCUAAAGUAUCAGAUCAUUUGAAAACCUCUUCACAGUGGACUUUGGAAUGCAAACUGUUAGGGAAUGAUUUUUUUUUUCAUAGGGUUGUUUCUUUUUUUAAUGCUUUUCUACAUAUUGAUAAAUGAAAGUCAGUGCCUAUUUCUUGCAACUAACCUCAGUGGGAGGCAGCCAGUUAGAAGAGGGAAGGGAGAUAUUUUUAAAUUGCCAAAGUGAAUCCUGGACCGAGGCCACGUGUGGAUAAUUCAAAACGGAUUAAAGUUCUUCUAAGAAGCCACUUUUCAUGCUUCUCUCAACUGCUUCAUGUGGACUCCUUCUCAAGGAAAAAAAAAAGCACAUUCUCUGGUUUUUCUAUUUGUUUUUUCCUUGUCUAGACAGUAGUCUAAAAACUGAAUAUAUUUGGGCAUUAAAAUGUUUUUUCCCCUAUAUGGGAAAAGAAUUUAAGAAUGUGUGUGUGUGUGUAACUGAUUCACUUUGCUGUACACCUGAAACUAACACAACAUUGUGAAUCAACUAUACUCCAAUAAAAUGUAUAAAUAAAUAAACAACUAAAAAUUUUAAAAUAUUUCUGAACAAAAAAGUCUUUUGCGGAGUUCCCGUCAUGGCUCAGUGGUUGGCCAAUCCGACUCGGAACCAUGAGG
rnacentral:lncRNA from 1 species